rfam:Laetiporus sulphureus 93-53 unplaced genomic scaffold LAESTscaffold_12, whole genome shotgun sequence.
UGCCCCAUGGCUGAGUUGGUUACAGCGUCCGACUGUUAUUAUUCAAUCGGUAAUUUCUUAAAUCGGAAGGUCGUGAGUUCGAGCCUCACUGGGGCAG